UACAGAGGGUGCAAGCGUUAAUCGGAAUUACUGGGCGUAAAGCGUGCGUAGACGGUUAUGUACGUCAGGUGUGAAAGCCCCGGGCUCAACCUGGGAAUGGCAUUUGAGACUGCAUAGCUAGGGUGCGGAAGAGGGAAGCGGAAUUUCCGGUGUAGCGGUGAAAUGCGUAGAUAUCGGAAGGAACAUCAGUGGCGAAAGCGGCUUCCUGGUCCAGCACCGACGUUCAGGCACGAAAGCGUGGGGAGCAAACAGG
rnacentral:rRNA from 1 species